GCCUUCGUGGUGUAACACUAGCACGUUUGGCUCGUAAUCGAGAGGUACAGGUUCGAGUCUCGGCGAGGGCA
rnacentral:tRNA from 1 species